UAUUUUAUGUUUGUUAUUGUCUAGUUCAUAGGUUUAUGAGGGUUUCCAUUUGCUUGGGUUAUUAUCAAUAACAAAACUAACGGUAUACCAGAAAAAAAGGGUGUCUGUUAAUUUUGCCAAUUUAAGUAUAUUUUUACCAGUCCUGGGGAAGUUCGGCCAUUGCUGCUUUUGUGUCCCAUCGUUCUGGUUCUUUUCUCCACAGUUUGUUCCUCCUCUGCCUCGCCCGUCGACUCGGUUGCUUCGAGCCACGGGGUGUACCAUCUUCUCGGCAGCAAGGGAAUUCUUCAGGAGAACAGUUGUUUCGGGCUUUCUGCCUGUUUAUAUAGGCUUCCCACUUUGCAGCUUUAACUAAUGGGGCAAAGUAAGACACGGUCAGUACUUCCCUUCUGCAUUUUAUAACCAAAAUUUCAGCUACAAAGGGGACUGGUUCGUUGGAGUGGUAGCAAUAAUAUUGAGGGUUUAUUCCUUUGGCAAAAAUUUCCCACCACUCAUGGGAUUCCCGAAUAAUUUCUUGUUUAGACUCUAAUUGUUUUAAUUUCCACUCAGUGAGAGUUCUUUGGAUUUUCCAACACUGUGUGCAAACUCCUAUUGGAGGGUAUCCACAUUCACAAUGUGUCUACCAUUUAUCCUGGCAUACCUUACACCUAAAACAAGCAAAUGGAUAACAAUUGCAGUUCAAAUCAUUACACCUAAUUCAUAUAUCUAGAGUGCAUAUAUUAUUUACAUCAACAUAUCUUCUAUUUUUAAUAUUGUGAGGUUGCAUAAGUUUAGCAAUUUCCUUCAACACACUUUGUACGCUUCCAUAUAUAAUAGAAAAAAAGAGAAAUAAUUAUAGCAAAUAUAAACAGCAAUACACACUUUAUACCGAAAGGUAAUGCGGCAAAAUAAUCAAAUAAAGUCUUUAUCAUUACGUUAUCUUUUCAGGGUUAUCUUGGUGUCACCUGGAGUACUGAUUACUUUCCAGUGGGGUCUCGUCACUGGGCCUUUAAUGCGACUGGCAUGAGUCCAUCCACGCUCAGCAGUUCGGACAGCUGUUUCUGUUGUAAGCAAAACAAGAUAAGGUCCCUCCCAAUUGGGUUUUAGGGUUUCUUCCUUCCACACUUUAAUCAAUAUCCAAUCCCCAGGUUUAACAUUAUGAAUUUUUAAGUCCAACGGGGGUCGUUGUACAAUCAGUCCAUGUUCCCAAAGCUUGUUACGAUGUUCUGCUAAUUGUGAAACAUAUUCAUUAAUCACACGGUCUCGAAUUAAAACAUUUGUUUGUGGACUUUCAAUUCUAUAAGACAUUCCAUACACCAUUUCAAACGCUGAUAUUCCUACAUCUGCUCGGGGUCUGGUUCUGAGAAUUAAUAGUGCCAUGGGUAGGCACUUAAUCCAUGAUAAUUUGGUUUCUAUCAUUAAUUUAAACCAGACCCCGAGCAGAUGUAGGAAUAUCAGCGUUUGAAAUGGUGUAUGGAAUGUCUUAUAGAAUUGAAAGUCCACAAACAAAUGUUUUAAUUCGAGACCGUGUGAUUAAUGAAUAUGUUUCACAAUUAGCAGAACAUCGUAACAAGCUUUGGGAACAUGGACUGAUUGUACAACGACCCCCGUUGGACUUAAAAAUUCAUAAUGUUAAACCUGGGGAUUGGAUAUUGAUUAAAGUGUGGAAGGAAGAAACCCUAAAACCCAAUUGGGAGGGACCUUAUCUUGUUUUGCUUACAACAGAAACAGCUGUCCGAACUGCUGAGCGUGGAUGGACUCAUGCCAGUCGCAUUAAAGGCCCAGUGACGAGACCCUACUGGAAAGUAAUCAGUACUCCAGGUGACACCAAGAUAACCCUGAAAAGAUAACGUAAUGAUAAAGACUUUAUUCGAUUAUUUUACCGCAUUACCUCUCGGUAUAAAGUGUGUAUUGCUAUUUAUAUUUGCUAUAAUUAUUUCUCUUUUUUUCUAUUAUAUAUGGAAGCGUACAAAGUGUGUUGAAGGAAAUUGCUAAACUUAUGCAACCUCACAAUAUUAAAAAUAGAAGAUAUGUUGAUGUAAAUAAUAUAUGCACUCUAGAUAUAUGAAUUAGGUGUAAUGAUUUGAACUGCAAUUGUUAUCCAUUUGCUUGUUUUAGGUGUAAGGUAUGCCAGGAUAAAUGGUAGACACAUUGUGAAUGUGGAUACCCUCCAAUAGGAGUUUGCACACAGUGUUGGAAAAUCCAAAGAACUCUCACUGAGUGGAAAUUAAAACAAUUAGAGUCUAAACAAAAAAAUUAUUCGGGAAUCCCAUGAGUGGUGGGAAAUUUUUGCCAAAGGAAUAAACCCUCGAUAUUAUUGCUACCACUCCAACGAACCAGUCCCCUUUGUAGCUGAAAUUUUGGUUAUAAAAUGCAGAAGGGAAGUACUGACCGUGUCUUACUUUGCCCCAUUAGUUAAAGCUGCAAAGUGGGAAGCCUAUAUAAACAGGCAGAAAGCCCGAAACAGCUGUUCUCCUGAAGAAUUCCCUUGCUGCCGAGAAGAUGGUACACCCCGUGGCUCGAAGCAACCGAGUCGACGGGCGAGGCAGAGGAGGAACAAACUGUGGAGAAAAGAACCAGAACGAUGGGACACAAAAGCAGCAAUGGCCGAACUUCCCCAGGACUGAUAAAAAUAUACUUAAAUUGACAAAAUUGACAGACACCCUUUUUCCUGGUAUACCGUUAGUUUUGUUAUUGAUAAUAACCCAAGCAAAUGGAAACCCUCAUGAACCUAUGAAAUGGAC
rnacentral:lncRNA from 1 species